GUCAGAUGUCAGCAGCUGCCAGAGAGUAGGUUCCAGAAGUGAAAGUGACGAUCCGUGUCCUGCCACUGCCUGUCCCUCCCUGUUCCCGGCAGCCCGGGACUCUGACAACCUUAUCUGACGGUCACAAGCAGAUUGUGUGGCACCCAGAGAGAUAAGACGGAUCUGGGGUGAGGGUGGCCUUCCGGGCUGCAGGCCUCCCCUCUCCCAGGACUUCUGGGCAGUGACUGCCAGCCGAGGCCAGGGAAAGCCUCAUCCUUGCGACUGCCUGGAUUUCAGCUGAGAAGCAACAGCCUCAGGUCUCAGGGAGAAAGGGAAGUAUGGAAACUUCUGGAAGGGUGAGCAGGUCGGCCAGGCUGCAGGACCCGGGCUCUGGGAACAGGGAGAGUCCCAUUUGCUUUCGGAACCUCUAAUUUUCAUAUGGAAAAAGUUAUCACAGAGGAUUAAGCAGAGUACUUCAGCCACGAAAUUAAAAGAUGCUUGCUCCUUGGAAGAAAACCUAUGACCAACCUAGACAGCAUAUUCAAAAGCAGAGACAUUACUUUACCAACAAAGGUCUGUCUAGUUAAAGCUAUGGUUUUCCCAGUAGUCAUGUAUGGAUAUGAGAGUUGAACUAUAAAGAAAGCUGAGCGCUGAAGAAUUGAUGCUUUCGAACUGUGGUGUUGGAGAAGACUCUUGAGAAUCUCUUGGACUGCAAGGAGAUCCAACCAGUCCAUCCUAAAGGAAAUCAAUCCUGAAUAUUCAUUGGAAGGACUGAUGCUGAAGCUGAAAUUCCAAUACUUUGGCCACCUGAUGCGAAGAACCUACUCAUAGAAAAGAUCCUGACGCUGGGAAAGAUUGAAGGCGGGAGGAGAAGGGGACGACAGAGGAUGAAAUGGUUGGAUGGUAUCACCAACGUGAUGGACAUGAGUUUGAGUAGGCUCUGGGAGUUGGUGAUGGACAGGGAAGCCUGGCAUGCUGCAGUCCAUGGGGUCACAAAGAGUUGAACAUGACUGAGCGAUUGAACUGAACUGAAGCAGAGUUUCCUGUGCUAUACAGGUCCUGGUUGAUUACCUAUUUUAAAUAUAGCAGUGUGUAUAUAUCAAUCCCAAACUCCCAAUCUAUCCCUCACUCCAACCCUUCCCCCACAGGUCAUGCCUUUUGUAGACAGUGGGCUUCCCAGGUGGCAAGGAAUCUGCCUACCAAAGCAGGAGACAAAGAGACUCAGGUUUGAUCCCUGGGCUUGGAAGAUCUCCUGGAAUAAGAAAUGGCAAAACAUUUCAGUAUUCUUGCCUGAAAAACUGCAUGGACAGAGGAGCCUGAUGGGCUACAGUCUAUGGGGUUGCAAGGAGUCGGACGCACACGCACACGCACACGCACACGCACACGCACACACACACACACACGUAUGGAGGUGUUGAUGCAACAGAUACACGAUUUCUUGGAUCAACACAGUAGCCUCAUGGAUUCUUCCCUGUCUCACUCCAACCCACCUCCUCACAAAAAUGUCUUGGGUGGCUCAGCAAUGUCUGACCCGCCCCCCACACUGACAACAGCCAGGCUGACUGUUCACACUGUGAUAUGAACACACUGAUCGUGUUGCUUAUUUCUAAGUAGGCCUUAACCUUGUAGAAUGAAAUCAGAGGAAAAUCGAAGCUACCAAGACUGAAAUUGAAAAAGUACUGGGAUUUUCUAGUUAAAGACAGAGCUGAAUUUCACCGAAACGGGCUCUUAGUGACACUACCUCCAAAGACCCAUAGGCCCACUGGAGGACUGAUGAUUAGGCACCAGACUUGAAAUGGAAUCACCCUGUCCCUGGGGACUUCCUUGAAACAUUAGAUUUUCUUCUGUGCAUUAAGGUGGGAAAAUGUGACUAGCAUGUCGUAUGAGUUUCAUCCAUCCCAUUUGCUUUCCUCUCUUCUCUUACAGAACUGGAAAAUUUCAUACGGCAAACUCAUAUUUCAGCUAUGCUUCAUGCAAUGCAUGAAAUCUUUGUUUAAAUGACUACUGUUUAUUCACUGAACAAACGCCUAUCAGAGUUAAAAACUCUGUGGAUCCCAGAAAUAACAAAGCUUCUUAGGAAUGCUUGGGCAUGAC
ensembl:lncRNA